GACGAACGCUGGCGGCGUGCUUAACACAUGCAAGUCGAACGGUAAGGCCCUUCGGGGUACACGAGUGGCGAACGGGUGAGUAACACGUGGGUGAUCUGCCCUGCACUUCGGGAUAAGCCUGGGAAACUGGGUCUAAUACCGGAUAGGACCACUGCCUGCAUGGGUGGUGGGGGCAAGCUUUUGCGGUGUGGGAUGGGCCCGCGGCCUAUCAGCUUGUUGGUGGGGUGAUGGCCUACCAUGGCGACGACGGGUAGCCGGCCUGAGAGGGUGACCGGCCACACUGGGACUGAGACACGGCCCAGACUCCUACGGGAGGCAGCAGUGGGGAAUAUUGGGCAAUGGAGGAAACUCUGACCCAGCGACGCCGCGUGAGGGAUGAAGGCCUUCGGGUUGUAAACCUCUUUCAGCAGGGAAUAAGCGAAAGUGAAGGUACCUGCAGAAGAAGCACCGGCUAACUAUGUGCCAGCCGCCGCGGUAA
rnacentral:rRNA from 1 species